UUACGGCCAUAUCAUGUCGAAACAGUGGUUCUCGUACGAUCACCGAAGUUAAGCAACGUUAAGCUUGUUCAGUAACUAGAUGUGUGACUGCUUCGGAAUACCAGGCGCUGUAA